AUUGAACGCUGGCGGCAUGCUUUACACAUGCAAGUCGAACGGUAACAGGCCUUCGGGUGCUGACGAGUGGCGAACGGGUGAGUAAUGCAUCGGAACGUACCCAGAGGUGGGGGAUAACGCAGCGAAAGCUGUGCUAAUACCGCAUGUGAUCUGAGGAUGAAAGCGGGGGACCGAGCAGCAAUGUUUGGCCUCGCGCCUUUGGAGCGGCCGAUGUCGGAUUAGCUAGUUGGUGGGGUAAAGGCCUACCAAGGCGACGAUCCGUAGCUGGUCUGAGAGGACGACCAGCCACACUGGGACUGAGACACGGCCCAGACUCCUACGGGAGGCAGCAGUGGGGAAUUUUGGACAAUGGGCGCAAGCCUGAUCCAGCAAUGCCGCGUGCGGGAAGAAGGCCUUCGGGUUGGAAACCGCUUUUGGCAGGAACGAAACGGUGUCCGCUAAUACCGGGCGCUAAUGACGGUACCUGCAGAAUAAGCACCGGCUAACUACGUG
rnacentral:rRNA from 1 species